rnacentral:rRNA from 1 species
GCAGUGGGGAAUAUUGCACAAUGGGCGGAAGCCUGAUGCAGCGACGCCGCGUGAGGGAUGACGGCCUUCGGGUUGUAAACCUCUUUCAGCAGGGACGAAGCGUAAGUGACGGUACCUGCAGAAGAAGCACCGGCCAACUACGUGCCAGCAGCCGCGGUAAGACGUAGGGUGCGAGCGUUGUCCGGAUUCAUUGGGCGUAAAGAGCUCGUAGGCGGCUUGUCGCGUCGACUGUGAAAACCCGCAGCUCAACUGCGGGCCUGCAGCCGAUACGGGCAGGCUAGAGUUCGGUAGGGGAGACUGGAAUUCCUGGUGUAGCGGUGAAAUGCGCAGAUAUCAGGAGGAACACCGGUGGCGAAGGCGGGUCUCUGGGCCGAUACUGACGCUGAGGAGCGAAAGCGUGGGGAGCGAACAGGAUUAGAUACCCUGGUAGUCCACGCUGUAAACGUUGGGCGCUAGGUGUGGGGGGCCUCUCCGGUUCCCCGUGCCGCAGCUAACGCAUUAAGCGCCCCGCCUGGGGAGUACGGCCGCAAGGCUAAAACUCAAGGGAAUUGACGGAAGC